rnacentral:lncRNA from 1 species
GCACCUUUUUAGACUGUCAGUAUUGGGUUGUGGCAAGCGGAUCUUGGGAAGGAGAUGAAUGUGCUUUUAGGGAUUACUCUCAGAACUGACCUCUGCAAGGGAAGGGGCAAAGCAGCACUGGGCAGAGGGAGAAGCUGGGCUCCAAUACCGCUCUCAGCCAAAGCCCCUGCCCAUGCCGUGGUGAGUGCUGGAGCUGAGCUGGAAGAGACCCCCCCUCCCCCAUCACUCGUGAGUGGUGGGAAAAGUUGUUGAAGGAGUUGUGGGAAUUUGGAUUUUUGAUGAGUAGAGUAACAGUUUGGGACAUUCUCAUGGACAAAAAAAACUACUCAGGGUAGAGCCAUCUGUUAACAUCCUCUUAGCACUCUUACGGUGGCCACUGUGCCCUAGCUAUGCAACUUCUAAUCACUGGGUUCUUUUUGGUUUUUAAUCAUCUUUGUGUUUUCAAGAUGCAUUUGGUUAAGUUUUGGAAUUGGUAAUACAGACACAUGGUCUGAAAUUCAAAGGUUCUGAGAGGGUUUGCAGUGAGAGGUAACUGCUUCUUAUCUGGGCUCUUCAGUUCCUGGAUCUUCUCGUGAG